GACGAACGCUGGCGGCGUGCUUAACACAUGCAAGUCGAGCGGUAAGGCCCUUUCGGGGGUACACGAGCGGCGAACGGGUGAGUAACACGUGGGUGACCUGCCCUCAGCUCUGGGAUAAGCCUGGGAAACCGGGCCUAAUACUGGAUAUGACUCCAUGACGCAUGUUGUGGGGUGGAAAGCCUUGUGCGGCUGAGGAUGGGCCCGCGGCCUAUCAGCUUGUUGGUGGGGUGANGGCCUACCAAGGCGACGACGGGUAGCCGGCCUGAGAGGGCGACCGGCCACACUGGGACUGAGACACGGCCCAGACUCCUACGGGAGGCAGCAGUGGGGAAUCUUGCGCAAUGGGCGAAAGCCUGACGCAGCGACG
rnacentral:rRNA from 1 species